UAGAGUUUGAUCAUGGCUCAGAACGAACGCUGGCGGCGUGCCUAACACAUGCAAGUCGAACGGACUUUAUUUCUUCGGAUUUAAAGUUAGUGGCGCACGGGUGAGUAACGCGUGGAUAUCUGCCUAUUAGUGGGGGACAACUUGGAGAAAUCCAAGCUAAUACCGCAUACGCACUACGGUGGAAAGCAGGGGACCUUCGGGCCUUGUGCUGAUAGAUGAGUCCGCGUCUGAUUAGCUAGUUGGUAAGGUAAUGGCUUACCAAGGCGAUGAUCAGUAACUGGUUUGAGAGGAUGAUCAGUCACACUGGAACUGAGACACGGUCCAGACUUCUACGGAAGGCAGCAGUGGGGAAUAUUGCACAAUGGGCGAAAGCCUGAUGCAGCGACGCCGCGUGCGGGAAGAAGGCCUUCGGGUUGUAAACCGCUUUCAAUUGGGAAGAAGAGAUGAGCGUUAAUAUCGCUCUGAUUUGACGGUACCUUUAGAAGAAGCACCGGCUAAUUUCGUGCCAGCAGCCGCGGUAAUACGAAAGGUGCAAGCGUUGUUCGGAUUUACUGGGCGUAAAGAGAUCGUAGGUGGUUUGUUAAGUCGGAUGUGAAAUCCCAAGGCUCAACCUUGGAACUGCAUUCGAUACUGGCAGGCUAGAGUUUGGGAGGG
rnacentral:rRNA from 1 species